rnacentral:rRNA from 1 species
UACGUAGGUGGCGAGCGUUGUCCGGAAUUAUUGGGCGUAAAGAGCGCGUAGGCGGGUAAAUAAGUCUGUUUUAAAAGUUCGGGGCUCAACCUCGUGAUGGAAUGGAAACUGUUUAUCUUGAGUACCGGAGAGGAAAGUGGAAUUCCCAGUGUAGCGGUGAAAUGCGUAGAUAUUGGGAGGAACACCAGUGGCGAAGGCGACUUUCUGGACGGUGUCUGACGCUGAGGCGCGAAAGCCAGGGAAGUGAACGGGAUUAGAAACCCUUGUAGUCCACAUCGGGUGCCAGCAGCC